UACGUAGGAGGCGAGCGUUGUCCGGAUUUACUGGGCGUAAAGCGCGCGUAGGCGGCUUGUCACGUCGGGUGUGAAAGCCCGGGGCUUAACCCCGGGUCUGCAUUCGAUACGGGCUAGCUAGAGUGUGGUAGGGGAGAUCGGAAUUCCUGGUGUAGCGGUGAAAUGCGCAGAUAUCAGGAGGAACACCGGUGGCGAAGGCGGAUCUCUGGGCCAUUACUGACGCUGAGGAGCGAAAGCGUGGGGAGCGAACAGG
rnacentral:rRNA from 1 species